UACGUAGGGCGCGAGCGUUGUCCGGAAUUAUUGGGCGUAAAGAGCUCGUAGGCGGCUUGUCGCGUCGGUUGUGAAAGCCCGGGGCUUAACUCCGGGUCUGCAGUCGAUACGGGCAGGCUAGAGUUCGGUAGGGGAGAUCGGAAUUCCUGGUGUAGCGGUGAAAUGCGCAGAUAUCAGGAGGAACACCGGUGGCGAAGGCGGGUCUCUGGGCCGAUACUGACGCUGAGGAGCGAAAGCGUGGGGAGCAAACAGG
rnacentral:rRNA from 1 species